rnacentral:lncRNA from 1 species
ACCAGCCGAGCUGACCCGAGGGGCUCUCCAAUGCCCAUUUGCUUUGAUAAGAAUUUCAUUUUCAAUAAUGACACGGCAUAAAAAUACCAAAAGGGACCAAUAAAAUAUAGCACAGUAGCAAGCCAAGUUAAUGCUUGAAGGGAUAUGCUUGGAAGAUCCUUCCCCACCAAAUUUUAAUAGCAACCAUUCCUUUAAAGUUAAUGAACCCCCCUUAACAAGCCAUCUCUCUGGCUAGAUGCUGGAGGAUCUCCUCCCCCAGCUCCAGUUCCAGUUCCAGUUCCAGUUCCAGUUCCUCCUCCACUGGCUCCAGCAGCCAGUGGAGGAGGUUUCAGCUUCAGUUUCAGUUUCACUAAUAUGAUGGGCUCCGUCUGGGACGAUUCAGCACCUGGUGGUCGCUGAAGUCGUAUGGCAAGCGGGAGGAGGAGAAGGGUCGAGCAUGAUCCAGUUAUAUGGCGCAGAAGUUGUGAUGCUCGCUCCAACCUUACUAGGUAUUUUGGGCAACCACAGAUCCUUUGGCAAUGCAUCUAUGACAGAUGUAUCUCAAGCUUCAGUAGUAAACAAAUAUCUUUGUUAGAAUUAUGAUAUUUUCUAUUCCUAUAUCUCUGAUGUCUCUCAAAUUUAGAUGCAUUUUGGACACAGAAAAUUCAAGGGCAGUUGAUAUUUGUUUUUCUCUUCUCUCAAGUACUAUAUAUUGAUUGACUUGCCUUGGUUGUGUAUUGAUAAUUAUAUAUUACGUAUUCAAUUUCAACAUAAUUUUUAGGCAAUAGUUGCCCGAUUGAGUCGGUCAUAAAUAUUGCUCCCAUAAAAAUUGUGCAUCCGGCAGAGCGUGUGUAUGUAUGUUUUUAUAUUUUUAAUUUUAGUUUCAUUUUAUUUGGCUUUCCGUUGUUUAAGCUUUUAUUCUUAGGAUGGAAACAGUGCAGCUACACUAGGCGGCUAGGCGCAAGCAAAACAUAGCUUAUUCU